rnacentral:rRNA from 1 species
UACGAAGGGGGCUAGCGUUGUUCGGAAUUACUGGGCGUAAAGGGCGCGUAGGCGGCCCGCUAAGUCGAACGUGAAAUCCCCGAGCUCAACUCGGGAACUGCGUCCGAUACUGGCGGGCUUGAAUCCGGGAGAGGGAUGCGGAAUUCCAGGUGUAGCGGUGAAAUGCGUAGAUAUCUGGAGGAGCACCGGUGGCGAAGGCGGCAUCCUGGACCGGCAUUGACGCUGAGGCGCGAAAGCUAGGGGAGCAAACGGG